rnacentral:lncRNA from 1 species
UUGAUUAUUGCUAGUGUUAAAAAAGAAUGCUACAUAUAUUUUAAUAAUUAUAAUUUUCAAAAUAUAAUUUUAGAAUAUCAUAUGUUUAUCCUACGAGAAAUCCUAAUUUCCAAUAGACUAUUUUUAUACUACUGACGUUUGACUCCGGAUUAUAUAAUUUGUCGACAGGUAACCUACUCUGCGUUUGGACAACCAAGUAUUCAGUCAAGAAUAAAGAGCGACAAAAAAAGGAAAAUUAAAUUUUUAAUUGGUGCAAUUUUGGGAGAAAGUUUACUGUUUUCUGAUGAUUUUGUCAUUAUUAGAAAACACAUAACACUUAAUUUCUACCCAAUAUUGUUCCGAUUUAAUGCUUGAUGCUACUUCUUUACAUUGCUCUUACUUGACCGGGUACCAGGAUGUCUUACCACAGAAUAGGUGACCUGUUGAAAAAAUAUAAAUUCCCUAGUCAAUUUUUGUACGACUAAUACAAUUCAAAUUGUUUCUUUAUACUUGUUGUUUUUCUCUCACAAUUCUUUCAACAGUGUUUUCCAAAUUGUCAGAAGUUCAAUACUAUGUAAAAUGUAGA